rnacentral:rRNA from 1 species
AUGGCCAUGGCGCAAGGACAAGCGGCACGGGCCACGAGGGAGGCCGUUCCUCCGGUGUCCCGUGUGGCCAUCAUCGGCGGCGGGAUCAGCGGCCUGGCCGCGGCGAAGCAGAUGGCGGCCUACGACCCCGUGGUGUUCGAGGCAACGCCGUCCGUCGGCGGGGUGUGGAAGCACUGUGUCUACCGCACCACGCGGCUCCAGACGCCGCGCCCGGACUACGAGUUCUCCGACUACUCGUGGAAGAACCGCGACGACCCGUCGUUUCCGACCCACACGGAGAUCGUCGACUACCUCGAGGGCUACGCCGACGAGUUCGACCUCUGGCGCUACAUCUCGUUUGGGUCCAAGGUGGUGGACAUCAAGUUCCUCGGCGGCGCCGAGGCCGGGUUCACCGAGCUGUGGAGCGGCACCGGCAAGGAUCCGCUCCGUGGCAAGCCCAUGUGGGAGGUCGGCAUCGUCACCGGCGACUCCAACACCGUUCAGUAUUACAAGUUCGAGUUCGUGGUGAUGUGCACGGGGAAGUACGGCGACGUGCCGCGGAUGCCCGUGUUCCCGCCGGGGAAGGGGCCGGAGGUGUUCAAGGGGACGGUGAUGCACUCGCUGGACUACUGCAAGCUGAGCGAGGAGGAGACCGUUGAACUGAUGCGAGGCAAGAAGGCUGUGGUGGUUGGGUACAAGAAGAGCGCUAUUGAUCUAGCCAACGAAUGCGCCCAGGCAAACCAAGGCGAGGGAGGGCAGGCGUGCACGAUGCUGGUGCGGACCCUGCACUGGGUGGUGCCAUCCUACUCCAUCUGGGGCUUGCCGUUCUCCAUGUUCUACUCCACACGCUUGUCUCAGCUCUUCUACGAGCGGCCCAACCAAGGGUUCUUCCGAUCCCUCCUCUGCCGCCUCAUGAGCCCACUGCGGGCAGGGGUGUCCAAGUUCAUCGAGUCAUACCUGUCAUGGAAGCUGCCGCUGGGAAGGUACGGUCUGACGCCGGACCACCCCUUCGUCGAGGACUACGCCAGCUGCCAGAUGGCCAUCCUCCCGGAGGGCUUCUUCGACAUGGCGGACCGCGGCCUCGUCCGCUUCAAGAGGGCCUCCGCCGGGUGGUGCUUCUCCGAGAACGGCGUGGUCCUCGACGACGGCACCAAGGUGGAGGCCGACCUCGUCUUCCUCGCCACCGGCUUCGAGGGCAAGGACAAGCUCCGCGAGGUCCUGCCAAAGCCCUUCCGCGACCUCGUCGUCGGCAAGUCUUCCAUGAUGCCGCUCUACCGUGGGACGGUCCACCCGCUGAUCCCCAACAUGGCGUUCGUCGGGUUCGUGGAGAGCGUGUCCAACCUGCACACGUCGGAGCUGCGGUGCCGGUGGCUGUCGGGGCUGCUGGAGGGGCGGUUCGAGCUGCCGUCGGUGAAGGCCAUGAUGGGGCACGUCGCCGGCGAGGCCGACGCCAUGCGCCGCACCACGCGAUUCUACCGCCGCCACUGCAUCUCCACCUACAGCAUCCACGACAGCGACGGCAUGUGCGCUGACCUGGGCUCCGCUACGCUCCGCAAGGCAAACUGGAUCGCCGAGCUUUUCGCCCCAUACAAUAACAAGGACUACAAGGAACAGUAA